AGUGAACGCUGGCGGUGGGCCUAACACAUGCAAGUCGAACGGCAGCACAGUAAGAGCUUGCUCUUACGGGUGGCGAGUGGCGGACGGGUGAGGAAUACAUCGGAAUCUACUUUUUCGUGGGGGAUAACGUAGGGAAACUUACGCUAAUACCGCAUACGACCUACGGGUGAAAGCAGGGGAUCUUCGGACCUUGCGCGAUUGAAUGAGCCGAUGUCGGAUUAGCUAGUUGGCGGGGUAAAGGCCUACCAAGGCGACGAUCCGUAGCUGGUCUGAGAGGAUGAUCAGCCACACUGGAACUGAGACACGGUCCAGACUCCUACGGGAGGCAGCAGUGGGGAAUAUUGGACAAUGGGCGCAAGCCUGAUCCAGCCAUACCGCGUGGGUGAAGAAGGCCUUCGGGUUGUAAAGCCCUUUUGUUGGGAAAGAAAAGCAGCAGGUUAAUACCCCGCUGUUCUGACGGUACCCAAAGAAUAAACACCGGCUAACUUCGU
rnacentral:rRNA from 1 species